CACCUGACUAACAGCUGGCCCAAAGACUGGGCUGGGCGAGUAGCCCUUAGAAAGGCUCACCCUCAAGCACGACUAGGAGC
rnacentral:pre_miRNA from 1 species